AGUCCUUCCUUUUGCUUGCUUUUGCAAGCCCAGAACUGAUGUUAUAGUAAAUGGUUAAGAAAUGGUUAUUUAUUUGUUGCUUUGAUCACCUUCCUAAACUCUGAAAGUCUUCUCAGAAAUGAUCUGGGGCAAGUUCCAGGUCAUGAGGUUUUGAUCCCUUUUACCAAGAAGGGAUGAAAUGACGAGGCAGAGUGUAUAGAACUGGAGUUCUUCUGACCAUGGAUGAAGAGUCAGACUGAGUCAUUCCCAAGGCCAUGUCUGCCCUAGUAGUUACACUUAAAAGGACCAUCUAAGUUUUCUGCAUCACACUGUCUAUUCUGUUAUGUAACUGUCGUUAAUGGCUUAAAUAAUCUUCUUUGCAAUUAUUGCAAAUUUUGUAAUAUUUUGCAAGUAUUGCAAAUAUGCUUUUGCAAUAUUUUGCAAAUAUUGCAAAUAUGCUUUUGCAAUAAGGUAAAAAGAGGGGUUAUUUAUAAGCCACCUAACUUUUCUGUUUGCUCUUUCAUAUCUUGGGACCAGUCAAAGAAGAUAGUUUCAACUUCCAACCUUUCAUCUCUAAGGGAAUUUGAUCUGGUCAUGAAAUUGACUUCCGGGUAAACAUAGCUGCAAUCUAGACGCAAAUCACUUUCUCUCCCAGGCACCAAGAGAAAUAGACUACCUUAAAAAGCAUAAAAAUAACCUUUGGAAGAGAGGAGGGACUCUCCAGUACCCCCACAGAAAUGAAGUUGCUAACUUGGGAGACAGGAAGCUAAGAUCUGGAUUUGUUUGCAUCCUCUCUUGGGAUCUUAAAAGCUGUGUCAUCCUGGGCAAGUCACUUUUUGUGUUUUCAGUUUCUGCAUCUGUAAAAAUGGAGAUAUUAAAAGCACCUAUCCUUCAGAGUCAUUGUAAAAAGUGAAUGUAAAGAAUUCUAUAAAUUUUAAAGUGCACUAAAUAAAUGCUAGCUGCCAUCAUCA
rnacentral:lncRNA from 1 species